GAAGGUAUAGCUCAGUAGCUAGAGUGUGUGCUUAGCAUGCACGAGCUCCUGGGUUCAAUCUCCAGUAUCUCCA
rnacentral:tRNA from 1 species